CCUAAAUUAGGUGGAUGUGCUGUGUUAUUAGUAGCCCCACUUUGUAAAUGAAAAACUGAGGCUGAUAUAAUUUAAGUAAAUUAUCUGAGGUCACGCAGACACUAAGUGGAUGAGCCUGAAUGGGACUCAGAUGGUCUGGCAUCACUCUGCCUCUUCACAAAUGUGGGAAAUCCGUAACAAGAAAAGCAAAAUUGCCUGCAUCAGACCCACCCCUGAAACUUGAUAUGGAAUCAACACCACCUGAAACAUACGGACUGAUGAAUGGGAGGAGCGAUUCCACAUAAGAAAUCAGAUAUUGUUACCACAUGGAACAAUUACUACCAGGUGAUGAAAACCAAUCUAUUCAUAGGAGGGCAGGAAACACAACACCUAGGCGACUGUGGGGGAGGUGGAAGACUGGGAGAGAGAAUGCUCCCCUCGCCACCUGAGGGGACAUGAUGGACAAGUGGGUGACUGGCAGCCCGAAGUAGGAUGCUGGGUAUCAUUGUCAUACUUCUCCAAGAACCAAGUCUUACUUGUAGCCCUUUCAGACGCUAAGGGCAGAGCAGAGGGAUUGCAGCUCUAGCAAAGGUGUCACAGCUCACAAACUCCAGGUUUUUCUAGUGUGUUUUCUUCAAGAUCAGCCUUUUCCAAUCAGAAUAAAGCUUCU